rnacentral:snRNA from 1 species
GUGCUCGCUUCGGCAGCACAUAUACAAAAAUGUCAUCGAUACAGAGAAGAUUAGCAUGGCCCCUGUGAAACGAUGACACAGAAAUCCGUGAGGCACUCCAUAUUUUC